UACAGAGGGGGCAAGCGUUGUUCGGAAUUACUGGGCGUAAAGGGCGCGUAGGCGGCCUUCUAAGUCGAACGUGAAAUCCCCGGGCUCAACCCGGGAACUGCGUCCGAUACUGGAAGGCUUGAAUCCGGGAGAGGGAUGCGGAAUUCCUGGUGUAGCGGUGAAAUGCGCAGAUAUCAGGAAGAACACCCGUGGCUAAGGCGGCUCUCUAGUACGGUACUGACGCUGAGACGCGAAAGCGUGGGGAGCGAACAGG
rnacentral:rRNA from 1 species